rnacentral:rRNA from 1 species
CCUACGGGUGGCAGCAGUGGGGAAUAUUGGACAAUGGGGGAAACCCUGAUCCAGCGACGCCGCGUGAGUGAAGAAGUAUUUCGGUACGUAAAGCUCUAUCAGCAGGAAAGAAAAUGACGGUACCUGACUAAUAAGCCCCGGCUAACUACGUGCCAGCAGCCGCGGUAAUACGUAGGGGGCAAGCGUUAUCCGGAUUUACGGGGUGUAAAGGGAGCGUAGACAGGAGAUCAAGUCUGGAGUGAAAUGCAGGGGCGCAACCCCGGAACUGCACAGGAAACGAUGAGGCUGGAGUGCAGGAGAGGUAAGCGGAAUUCCUGGUGUAGCGGUGAAAUGCGUAGAUAGCAGGAGGAACACCAGCGGCGAAGGCGGCUUACUGGACUGUAACUGACGUUGAGGCUCGAAGGCGUGGGGAGCAAACAGGAUUAGAUACCCGGGUAGUC